rnacentral:ncRNA from 1 species
ACAAUGAAGAGUUUGAUCCUGGCUCAGGAUGAACGCUAGCGGCAGGCUUAACACAUGCAAGUCGAGGGG